rnacentral:rRNA from 1 species
AACGAACUCUGGCGGCAUGCCUAACACAUGCAAGUCGAACGAAGUCUUCGGACUUAGUGGCGCACGGGUGCGUAACGCGUGGGAAUCUGCCCUAGGGUGCGGAAUAACUUCUCGAAAGGGAUGCUAAUACCGCAUAAUGUCGUAAGACCAAAGAUUUAUCGCCAAAGGAUGAGCCCGCGUAAGAUUCGCUAGUUGGUGGGGUAAAAGCCUACCAAGGCGACGAUCUUUAGCUGGUCUGAGAGGAUGAUCGGCCACACUGGGACUGAGACACGGCCCAGACUCCUACGGGAGGCAGCAGUGGGGAAUAUUGGACAAUGGGCGAAAGCCUGAUCCAGCAAUGCCGCGUGAGUGAUGAAGGCCUUAGGGUUGUAAAGCUCUUUUACCCGGGAUGAUAAUGACAGUACCGGGAGAAUAAGCUCCGGCUAACUCCGUGCCAGCCGCCGCGGUAACAC